UGGGGAAUAUUGCGCAAUGGAGGAAACUCUGACGCAGCGACGCCGCGUGGGUGAUGAAGGUUUUCGGAUUGUAAAGCCCUGUCGGCUGGGAAAAAGGUAGUCGUGCUAACACCACGAUUGCUUGAUGGUACCAGCAAAGGAAGCACCGGCUAACUCUGUGCCAGCAGCCGCGGUAAUACAGAGGGUGCAAGCGUUGUUCGGAAUUACUGGGCGUAAAGGGCGCGUAGGCGGCCUAGCAAGUCAGAUGUGAAAUCCCGGGGCUUAACUCCGGACGUGCAUUUGAAACUGCUAGGCUCGAGUACAGUAGAGGUUGGUGGAAUUCCCAGUGUAGAGGUGAAAUUCGUAGAUAUUGGGAGGAACACCGGUGGCGAAGGCGGCCAACUGGGCUGUAACUGACGCU
rnacentral:rRNA from 1 species